UGAGGAAUAUUGGUCAAUGGACGGAAGUCUGAACCAGCCAUGCCGCGUGCAGGAUGACUGCUCUAUGAGUUGUAAACUGCUUUUGUACGAGGGUAAACUUGGGUACGUGUACCCAACUGAAAGUAUCGUACAAAUAAGGAUCGGCUAACUCCGUGCCAGCAGCCGCGGUAAUACGGAGGAUCCGAGCGUUAUCCGGAUUUAUUGGGUUUAAAGGGUGCGUAGGCGGUUUUAUAAGUUAGAGGUGAAAUUCAUGGGCUUAACCUAUGACCUGCCUCUAAUACUGUAUGACUAGAGAUUAGUUGCAGAGGGCGGAAUGUGUAGUGUAGCGGUGAAAUGCUUAGAUAUUACACAGAACACCGAUUGCGAAGGCAGCUCUCUAAACUAAGUCUGACGCUGAUGCACGAAAGCGUGGGUAGCGAACA
rnacentral:rRNA from 1 species